rnacentral:rRNA from 1 species
UGCCAGCAGCCGCGGUAAUACGGAGGGGGCAAGCGUUGUUCGGAAUUAUUGGGCGUAAAGGGCGCGUAGGCGGUCAAGCAAGUUGGUGGUGAAAGCCCUCGGCUCAACCGAGGAAUUGCCCCCAAAACUGCCUGACUUGAGUCCCGGAGAGGGUGGCGGAAUUCCCAGUGUAGCGGUGAAAUGCGUAGAUAUUGGGAGGAACACCAGUGGCGAAGGCGGUCACCUGGACGGGUACUGACGCUGAGGUGCGAAAGCGUGGGGAGCAAACAGGAUUAGAUA